UUGGUACUAAAAGCGCAGAAAUAAAAUACAGGAUAUUUCAUGCAAGUAGAUCAAGCUAAAGCUCUAAAAUGGAUAUAAGAUAGAAAAAAAUAUCAUGAAGAAAAAUUAAAUGGUGUCGGAUGAAGCAUCACAUGAUGCGUAUGUUGGUUCCGGAAGUAAAGGUGUUUCAAAGAUUUCAAGAUUUACUGAUUCAGAGCUAAGAUAGGACAUGAUGGGAAGACUUAACAUUCUGAAAGUGAAUUUAGGUAUAUUUAAAAAUAAAUAGUUAUUGUUGAAUUAGCUUGUAAAGAAAUAAUAGUUAGAUGGUAAUAUAAGAUUUGCAGAAAUUAAACAGAGGAAUUACCUAUUUUUGCUGAGCUGGAUACAAUUUUUAUACAUUGAUCUACUGAUGGCAAAUAUUCUAAAAUAAUAAUAAAUUCCUUUCAUUUAAUUUUGCGAACUUUUCUGAUAUGCUUCAACAUCAACUAAAUUCAAAAUAUCAAACUCUAUAAUAUUUUUUCCUGCAAACUGUCCAAACACACCACUUGAUAUGCUACGUUUAACAACUGUAAAGUAAAAAUAAAGAAAUUAGUAUAGCAAAAAA